AGGAAGUGACCAGCCCGAUGUGUGCUAA
rnacentral:piRNA from 1 species